UACAGAGGGGGCAAGCGUUGUUCGGAAUUACUGGGCGUAAAGGGCGCGUAGGCGGCCUGUUAAGUCGAACGUGAAAUCCCUGGGCUCAACCCAGGAACUGCGUCCGAUACUGGCAGGCUUGAAUUCGGGAGAGGGAUGCGGAAUUCCAGGUGUAGCGGUGAAAUGCGUAGAUAUCUGGAGGAACACCGGUGGCGAAGGCGGCAUCCUGGACCAUUACUGACACUGAAAAGCGAAAGCCAGGGGAGCAAACGGG
rnacentral:rRNA from 1 species